CAGCAGCCGCGGUAAGACAGAGGAUGCAAGCGUUAUCCGGAAUGAUUGGGCGUAAAGGGUGCGUAGGCGGUUUGACAAGUCAUCUGUGAAAUCUAUGGGCUCAACCCAUAGUCUGCAGGCGAAACUGUCGGGCUUGAGUAUUGGAGAGGUGAGUGGAAUUUCCGGUGUAGCGGUGAAAUGCGUAGAUAUCGGAAGGAACACCUGUGGCGAAAGCGGCUCACUGGACAAUAACUGACGCUGAGGCACGAAAGCUAGGGGAGCAAACAGGAUUAGAUACCCCCGUAGUCCCUGUCUCUUAUAC
rnacentral:rRNA from 1 species